rnacentral:rRNA from 1 species
UACGUAGGGAGCAAGCGUUGUUCGGAUUUACUGGGCGUAAAGAGCGUGUAGGCGGCUUGGUAGGUCCGCUGUGAAAACUCGAGGCUCAACCUCGAGAUGUCGGCGGAAACCACUUGGCUAGAGUCCGGAAGAGGAGAGUGGAAUUCCUGGUGUAGCGGUGAAAUGCGCAGAUAUCAGGAAGAACACCUAUGGCGAAGGCAGCUCUCUGGGACGGUACUGACGCUGAGACGCGAAAGCGUGGGGAGCGAACAGG